rnacentral:rRNA from 1 species
CCUACGGGGGGCAGCAGUAGGGAAUCUUCCACAAUGGGCGAAAGCCUGAAGGAGCAACGCCGCGUGGGUGAAGAAGGCCCUCGGAGCGUAAAACCCUGUUGUUAGAGAAGAAAGUGCGUGAGAGUAACUGUUUACGUUUCGACGGUAUCUAACCAGAAAGCCACGGCUAACUACGUGCCAGCAGCCGCGGUAAUACGUAGGUGGCAAGCGUUAUCCGGAUUUAUUGGGCGUAAAGGGAACGCGGGCGGCAUUUUAAGUCUGAUGUGAAAGCCUUCGGCUUAACCGGAGUAGUGCAUUGGAAACUGGCGGACUUGAGUGCAGGAGAGGAGAGUGGAACUCGAGGUGUAGCGGUGAAAUGCGUAGAUAUAUCGAAGAACACCAGUGGCGAAAGCGGCUCUCUGGUCUGUAACUGACGCUGAGGUUCGAAAGCGUGGGUAGCAAACAGGAUUAGAUACCCGAGUAGUC